rnacentral:rRNA from 1 species
UACGAGGGGUGCAAGCGUUGUUCGGAAUUAUUGGGCGUAAAGGGCAGGUAGGUGGUCUUGAAAGUCUGCUGUGAAAUCCCCGGGCUUAACCUGGGAAUUGCGCUUGAAACUAGCGGGCUUGAGUGUGGCAGAGGGGGGUGGAAUUCCACGUGUAGCAGUGAAAUGCGUAGAGAUGUGGAGGAACACCGAUGGCGAAGGCAGCCCCCUGGGUCAACACUGACGCUCAUGCACGAAAGCGUGGGGAGCAAACAGG